rnacentral:rRNA from 1 species
UACGUAGGGUGCAAGCGUUGUCCGGAAUUAUUGGGCGUAAAGAGCUCGUAGGCGGUUUGUUGCGUCGGCUGUGAAAUCCCGAGGCUCAACCUCGGGUCUGCAGUCGAUACGAGCAAACUAGAGUGUUGCAGGGGAGACUGGAAUUCCUGGUGUAGCGGUGAAAUGCGCAGAUAUCAGGAGGAACACCCGUGGCGAAAGCGGCUCUCUGGGACGGUACUGACGCUGAGACGCGAAAGCCGGGGGAGCAAACAGG